AUUGAACGCUGGCGGCAGGCCUAACACAUGCAAGUCGAACGAGUGGCGGACGGGUGAGUAAUAUCUGGGAAACUGCCUGAUGGAGGGGGAUAACUACUGGAAACGGUAGCUAAUACCGCAUACCCUCAGAUGUGCACAGAUGGGCUUAGCUAUUAGGUGGGGUAACGGCUCACCUAGGCGACGAUCCCUAGCUGGUCUGAGAGGAGGACCAGCCACACUGGAACUGAGACACGGUCCAGACUCCUACGGGAGGCAGCAGUGGGGAAUAUAGCACAAGGGGCGCAAGCCUGAUGCAGCCAUGCCGCGUGUAUGAAGAAGGCCUUCGGGUUGUAAAGCACUUUCAGCGGGGAGGUGUUACUCGCAGAAGAAGCACCGGCUAACUCCGUGCCAGCAGCCGCGGUAAUUC
rnacentral:rRNA from 1 species